rnacentral:sRNA from 1 species
CAAGAUCUUCCCACUGGGGGAAACUGGGUAAAGGGUACAGAGGAUCCCUCUGUAUUAUUUCUUGAAAUUGCAUAUUAGUUAACAAUUAUCUCAAAAGUUUAGUUUUGAAAAUCAUAAUGUAUGUCCCUUUCAUUUUACUGAAAUAAAUAUUCAGAGCACUUAAUAACACAUUUUAUAGUCCAGCUCAUCUCUAUGGGAUGGUCACCCAUGAUAAUAAGAAAAGAACCUUUGAAAGUUGUAUUUUCAGAAGCAAAAAUACCGACAAUACUAGGUUAUUUACCUAGUCUCACUUGGAUUUUAAUGAGCUUGAAAAAUGCACCUGUUGUAUUAGAUGUAAUUUUUCCUUCUUUUUUUUUUCCAGCCUUUUUCUCAUUGUUCUCGUCAUAUCAGACAUUAUGGCUUUGCAUUUUUUCUUCUUGGUCAAGGAUUAUGGCAGCUGGCUUGAUAUUGGGACAAGGUAUAGUAUAUAUGGUCAUGCAUUGCUUAACAACAGGGAUAAGUUCUGAGAUAUGUAUUGUUAGGCAAUUUCUUCACUGUGCAAACAUCAUAUUCACACAAACCUAGAUGGUGUAGCCUACAACACACCUAGGAUAUGGUAUAGCCUAUUGCUCCUAGACUAUAAACCUGUACAGCAUGUUAUUAUACUGAAUACUGUAGGCAAUUGUAACCCAAUGGUAAGUAUUUAUGUAUCUACACAUAGAAAAGGUAUAGUAAAAAAUUCAGUGUAAAAGAUUUUUUAACUGGUACACCUAU